UACGAAGGGGGCUAGCGUUGUUCGGAAUUACUGGGCGUAAAGCGUGCGCAGGCGGCUGCUCAAGUCAGGGGUGAAAGCCCAGAGCUCAACUCUGGAAUUGCCUUUGAGACUGAGUGGCUUGAGUACGGGAGAGGUAAGUGGAAUUCCGAGUGUAGAGGUGAAAUUCGUAGAUAUUCGGAAGAACACCAGUGGCGAAGGCGACUUACUGGACACAUAUUGACGCUGAGGUGCGAAAGCGUGGGGAGCAAACAGG
rnacentral:rRNA from 1 species